rnacentral:rRNA from 1 species
GCGUGGGGAGCGAACAGGAUUAGAUACCCUGGUAGUCCACGCCGUAAACGAUGAGUGCUAAGUGUUGGAGGGUUUCCGCCCUUCAGUGCUGCAGCAAACGCAUUAAGCACUCCGCCUGGGGAGUACGACCGCAAGGUUGAAACUCAAAGGAAUUGACGGGGGCCCGCACAAGCGGUGGAGCAUGUGGUUUAAUUCGAAGCAACGCGAAGAACCUUACCAGGUCUUGACAUCCUUUGACCACUCUAGAGAUAGAGCUUCCCCUUCGGGGGCAAAGUGACAGGUGGUGCAUGGUUGUCGUCAGCUCGUGUCGUGAGAUGUUGGGUUAAGUCCCGCAACGAGCGCAACCCUUAUUGUUAGUUGCCAUCAUUUAGUUGGGCACUCUAGCGAGACUGCCGGUGACAAACCGGAGGAAGGUGGGGAUGACGUCAAAUCAUCAUGCCCCUUAUGACCUGGGCUACACACGUGCUACAAUGGGAAGUACAACGAGUUGCGAAGUCGCGAGGCUAAGCUAAUCUCUUAAAGCUUCUCUCAGUUCGGAUUGUAGGCUGCAACUCGCCUACAUGAAGCCGGAAUCGCUAGUAAUCGCGGAUCAGCACGCCGCGGUGAAUACGUUCCCGGGCCUUGUACACACCGCCCGUCACACCACGAGAGUUUGUAACACCCGAAGUCGGUGAGGUAACCUUUUUGGAGCCAGCCGCCUAAGGUGGGAUAGAUGAUUGGGGUGAAGUCGUAACAAGGUAACCAAU